CACAGCACGUGGAUCGUGAUGAGCAGCCAGAGCGCGUACGGCACAAGGACACGGGUCACGGACUCCGGCAGCAAACGGAACCGGUGAUUCCAUGAGGAACUGCGGCGUUCUCUGCAGGUCAGAGCGGGUAGUGCGGCACGCUGAUAUGCUGGUGAAACGCACCGUGGUGAGCGCCGUACAGCAGCUCCGGAGACGCACCGCUCAGGCCCGUGCACAGCGGCUCAUGGUUGCUCAGGACCGUGGACAGAUACUUGGCCUCUUCUAGAGAAGCUGGAACAAAACAAAGCAUAGGACUACAGAGCCUGUGAAUAAUUUAUGAGGUAAGCAGUGUUUGGUUUACAACUGGUUGUCUGAUGCCUAUAGAUUUGUAAAUAUGUUACCGCUCUUAUUUACAGAUUUGUGAGUUAAAUAAAGUUUGAUUUUUUUUUUUCAGUCUCUGAAACAAAGCGUUCAAAAUAUUCAGUUUACUGUCAAAUCUUAUAAAUAAUUAAUGAAGUUGCUACUAAUUGGUUGUCUAUUGCGAAACAUCUCAACUGUUAACCUAA